rnacentral:rRNA from 1 species
ACGGGGGGGGCGAGCGUUGUUCGGAAUUACUGGGCGUAAAGGGUUCGUAGGUGGCCUGCUAAGUCAGACGUGAAAUCCCUCAGCUUAACUGGGGAACUGCGUCUGAAACUGGCGGGCUUGAGUGCAGGAGAGGAACGCGGAAUUCCAGGUGUAGCGGUGAAAUGCGUAGAUAUCUGGAGGAACACCGGUGGCGAAGGCGGCGUUCUGGACUGCUACUGACACUGAGGAACGAAAGCCAGGGGAGCAAACGGGA